rnacentral:rRNA from 1 species
UACAGAGGUCCCAAGCGUUGUUCGGAUUCACUGGGCGUAAAGGGUGUGUAGGUGGCUGGGUAAGUCUGACGUGAAAUCUCCGAGCUCAACUCGGAAACUGCGUCGGAUACUCUCCAGCUAGAGGAUCGGAGGGGAGACUGGAAUUCUCGGUGUAGCAGUGAAAUGCGUAGAUAUCGAGAGGAACACCAGUGGCGAAGGCGAGUCUCUGGACGAUUCCUGACACUGAGGCACGAAAGCCAGGGGAGCAAACGGG